AUGAACGCUGGCGGCGUGCCUAAUACCUGCAAGUCGAGCGAACAGACGAGGAGCUUGCUCCUCUGACGUUAGCGGCGGACGGGUGAGUAACACGUGGAUAACCUACCUAUAAGAUUGGGAUAACUUCGGGAAACCGGAGCUAAUACCGGAUAAUAUAUUGAACCGCAUGGUUCAAUAGUGAAAGACGGUUUUGCUGUCACUUAUAGAUGGAUCCGCGCCGCAUUAGCUAGUUGGUAAGGUAACGGCUUACCAAGGCAACGAUGCGUAGCCGACCUGAGAGGGUGAUCGGCCACACUGGAACUGAGACACGGUCCAGACUCCUACGGGAGGCAGCAGUAGGGAAUCUUCCGCAAUGGGCGAAAGCCUGACGGAGCAACGCCGCGUGAGUGAUGAAGGUCUUCGGAUCGUAAAACUCUGUUAUUAGGGAAGAACAAAUGUGUAAGUAACUAUGCACGUCUGGACGGUACCUAAUCAGAAAGCCACGGCUAACUACGU
rnacentral:rRNA from 1 species